ensembl:lncRNA
UGCCCACAUAAACAGUGCUCAUCACUCUACCCAUAAUCUUGACUCUCUAUGCAUGGCCAAACACUCCAGUGAGUCUCAGGGCAUACACAACCCUCCGGACCAAACCUUACUUGCAAAACACACGUGGAAGACAAUGGCAGCACGUAUGGCCACAUAUAUAUUAUAGUAUAUUCAACUGUACAUGUAGUUUGCAUCUGUAUUUAGUCGGCUAAGUAUUUUAGAAAAAGUGGAUUCUGAGAAUAAAUUGACAGCAGGUGACAGUAGUUGUACCUUGCAAACCUUGACUGAGGUUCUAUGCAUAUUGGCCAGCCUGAGAUAAGGGGGCUUUCUAUAGUGGGCUAUACCACAACACCCAUAUAAACUGCCUGACCUCGCCGUGCACCGAACAGAGACCCAACCUGAAGCCAACACAUUCUCUCUCCGCGGCACAGAUUUCCCCCAACACUGCAGCAUGAGCUUAACCGCUCCGCCACCGUCUCUUUCCGUGAAGGAUUACCACGCAAAGAGCUGUGGGAAAACCAUUUAGAACAAACACACUCAUUCACUCACUGAUGACACACAUAAUAUGAACACAAAGAGCUUAAAUAGUGAGUGUACAGCUAUGGUAAUGAAAUAUUAAAUAAUCUUUUCCUCUUCUCUUCCAUAUGUCAGGAGAGUAGAUAUGACGUGGAGCUCAAUAUCUACCCUUUAAUGGUUUAUUGUAAAUGACUAUGGUGCUUACAUAAGAGAAUGAGCUUAUCAGCAUUAUAAGGUAAUUCUGCUAUAUAUCAGCUCGAUAAGGCCUUUACUGCACAGGUGAAGUAAGGGAGCGUUACAGAGGUGGAACAGUCUGACAUAAAAGCAGUUAAAGAUAAGGGCCCUAUUUUCGGUAAUCCAAACACAUGCCACUAUUGUAUUUCACUGUACUGCUUUAAAUAAACGGCGCUUGGGUCAAAAGCUGCCAGAGCCCCUCAAUGCGAAGGAAUGUAUUGAUUCCUGGGAAAGUGAUAGCUAAAGAGUGCCCUAGCGUCCCAUACAGACCAAGUCAGUCAAUGUACACAUCAUACAGAUUACAUAGACGUGAAUUUAAACUUGAUGUAGCCCGUGAAGCACAUGAGGUGGAAAUGUUCCAGACAGUGAAUGGAAGUCACACUGCUGUCAAAACAAUUGGUGUCAUUAUCUUAUCUUAAUAAACGUUUAUUGUCCCCUAUCUGGGGCUGGCCAACCUCCCUCUUGAACGGUCUGCUCCUCAAAGGACACAACGCCCCAAUUGGUCCAGACUCCAGGAGACUAUGGCAUGAUUAAUCAGCUAGGCUUGAUAAAGACGGAAGCAAACACGGAGCAGCUCCAGGAGAAGAGAUGGUCACCAAUGACUUCAUGGUGACGUGCACGGUUGUUUCAAAGGCCACUUCCAAAGGCGCAGACUUUGUUGUGACUACUCUUCAGGCGAACCGCAGAGCGUUGGAGAGCCACUGAAGAGCUGCACUGAAGAGCCAUUGAACACAACCAAACUAAACUGUGAAGGGCAACAACCGAAAUGUCCAUAGUACUACAAAAGGUAAAAUGCAAUGAAAUGCUGAUUUAAGACAGUUAGUCAGGGUACAGUUGCCAUGAAGUGAAGAGUAAUGAAAACACUUUUGAACAGCAUUCUUGAUCUUGAAUAAGCAACUGACCCAUCCCAUUUUAAAAUGAAGGACCCUUUAACGUGGACCUGCAUGCCAGAGCAACAAAAGGUGUCAUGGUUUACAUGUGGUAAUGGAGAUAAAUGAAACAUUUAAUACCCAUCCGUCACACUAACACACUCAAUAGGCCACAACAUAGCCCUGGUGUUCAUUCAUUACAAACCCCUGUUUAUGAGUUCCUGAGGUUAAUGGUGCUCAACAUCCACCUUUCACUCUAUUGAUCGUGACCUCUGCUCAGUCCUCAUUAGUUAAAGACCCAUUACAAUAAUUUGAACGGAUUCUCUCUGAAGAUCAUGUGAAGUUACAGUUGGAACGAGUGUUAAGAUAGUAAGGGGAAUUUCUAAGGGCGAAACCUCAAGCUGCAGACAAAGUCCUCAGACUACAAAUGCAAUCCUGAGCCAAAAGUGUGUUAUGGGCAGAGGUGUAAAGUAACGAAUUACAUUUACUCACGUUACUGUAAUUGAGUAGUUUUUUUGUGUACUUUGUAAUUUUUAAGUAGUUUUUGAAAUCAGUAAUUUUACUUUUACUUAAGUAGAUUUUGACUGAAGUAUUGUACUUCGUUACAUUGGAAAUUACAUCCGUUACUGAGUAAAAAAAAAAACAUAGUUCAAGGCAGGAAACCAAAAGGCGUGAAUCCCGCACUACAAUUCUCACUGCAGUGGUGGAUGCUGCAUAGAGUGGAUGAUGGAGUCAAUGCAAGCCGCCGGUUCCGAGUCACGAAAGAUAGAGGGAGGAAGAUGAUAGUGAGGACUACCAACAAGCUACGGACGACCAACAAGCUGAAGCACCGAACUUUCCACCAGUUGAAAUUAAAGAAAAUGAAGAAAACUCGUGGCCACAUCUCAGCAAGCAGUUUGCCUUCCAACGUAAAAGAGGCAACAGCUAUAUAAUGCUGUUAGCCGCAAGACUGAAUAGAAUACUGUAUGUCUGCUCCAUUAAUAUUUGUCUUUCCUGUUCUUUUUCUCUUGUUCUCUGUCUCUCUCUCUCUGUUCUCUGUCUCUUUCUCAUGUCACCAGUGCCCCUAAGCAAUCCCUCAAGCCAAUGCCUCGCUUUAUCAACCAGCGGAUUUAACAAGACAGCUCUUUUCAUGCUUGCUGGCUCCU